rnacentral:lncRNA from 1 species
AAACACGUUACAAAGAAUUUAACAGGUGUUUCCAGAUAUCAUGGGCAACAGUGAGUCGUCUGUAUCGGUUACAGUGAACGGCCAGACGGUGAACGCAAAAGCUUCCGGCUCCCAGUCAACAACUGUCAACACGUCGGCUCCCAAUGAAAAGGGGCCAGCAACGUCAAUAAAUAUCAGAUGUGGCAAAUAGUGACAGGAUCUUAAUCAGCCAUGUACGUUUGGACAGGACAUUCACACCAGUUGACGUGUUAUGGGUGUAUCUGGAUUUGUGUCAUGUUACGCUGUCUACGUGUUGUGUAUAUAUCGGCCUCAAACUAGUUUACUUUCAUGCUAAUAAAUAACCCUUGUAAAUAUACCGUCAGAACAGAACAGAACAGAACUGUAUUACUUUAUUACGCUUAGGGCCAACGUUCGAUCGCAUUACACUUGGACUCGGAACUCUCUCGACGUGCCCAUGUACCUCAAAGGUUUCAGGCACGUCCGUUCCAGGUCCGAUCUCUGAUAAAGUCAGUUGCCCGACCAGGGACAGACUCGCAUUUGAGGAAUACAUAAAUAUCAGGGCUUCUAGAAUUUUUUUAAAUAAAAUUCACUAGCCAUGGGAUUAGUGAUUUAAAAUAUUGACUAUCUACAAUUAAAGCUUUACUAGCCCUACUUUACUUUAAGUUAAUACAGUUUUACUAAAUAAUAGUAAUAAUAAGAUAUGUCACCUAAAGAGGGAGAUAGAGCUUAAAAACAUUGGGCGUGGGAGAAGAAUAUUCACAUUUAC